rnacentral:rRNA from 1 species
CAAUAGCGUAUAUUAAAGUUGUUGCGGUUAAAAAGCUCGUAGUUGGAUUUCUGCUGAGAACGACCGGUCCGCCCUUUGGGUGUGUAUCUGGCUCUUUCUUGGCAUCUUCUUGGUGAACGUUGCUGCACUUGACUGUGUGGAGCGCUACCCAGGACUUUUACUUUGAGGAAAUUAGAGUGUUUCAAGCAGGCAUACGCCUUGAAUACAUUAGCAUGGAAUAAUAAGAUAGGACCUCGGUUCUAUUUUGUUGGUUUCUAGAGCUGAGGUAAUGAUUAAUAGGGAUAGUGGGGGGCAUUCGUAUUUAACUGUCAGAGGUGAAAUUCUUGGAUUUGUUAAAGACGGACUACUGCGAAANCANNNGCCAAGGAUGUUUUCAUNGA